UACGGGGGGGGCAAGCGUUGUUCGGAAUUACUGGGCGUAAAGGGUUUGUAGGUGGCUUGCUAAGUCAGACGUGAAAUCCCUCAGCUUAACUGGGGAACUGCGUCUGAGACUGGCGAGCUUGAGUGCAGGAGAGGAACGCGGAAUUCCAGGUGUAGCGGUGAAAUGCGCAGAUAUCAGGAGGAACACCGGUGGCGAAGGCGGGUCUCUGGGCCGAUACUGACGCUGAGGAGCGAAAGCGUGGGGAGCGAACAGG
rnacentral:rRNA from 1 species